UUUCAAAGAGUAUUUUAUUGUAACAAAAAUUACAUUGUUACUUGACUUCGUAUACUUGGGAAUAUGUCAUAAUUUUAAAUUUUUAUAUAUUUCUGACAAACAAAAAGGAUGAAUCAUUUAUUAAGAUAAAUAAUUACCAAAAUAAAAAAAAGUGAAACUUUGAAUAGUCUGCUACCCUAGCACGCUUGUGUCUGCCGCCUCUAGCAAGUUUUUAGGUUUUCUUGUUUCGUCUGUCUUUUCUUCUCGAUUUCUUGCGUUUUUGUCCCUGGAAAAAGUAUGGAGAAUGAAUUAGCCCAAUUAACAAUUAAUGAAGAGGAGGAUGAUGUUAUUCAAAUUCAAGAAAAUCUUGGAACUGAAAGAAGAUAGCAGUUUCUUCAAUUGGUGGGGUGUAUUCUUACAGCAAGUAUAAUUCAUUUUCCAGCCAUGAAAAGUACUAUGGAAAAUCUGUGGCAUCCCGUUCGAGGUGUUCGAAUUCGAGAUCUGGUGGAAAAAAGGUUUUUAUUUCAAUUCUUUCAUCAUAUGGAUAUGGAGAGGGUUUUGAAAGGUUCCCCAUGGACAUUCAAUAAUCACUUGUUGAUACUUUAUAAAUUGAGGUGGAAGGAGUAUCCUAUGCAGGUCCCUUUAGUGUUAACCCCUUUCUGAGUUCAGAUUCAUGACGUUCCUAUUGGUUUGUUUUCUGAAAACUUAGCAGUUAAUCUAGAGAAUUUUUUGGGGAAUUUUAUGGAAUAUGAUAUGUCAAAUUUAGGGAAAGAAAACAGGAAUUUUAUGAGGAUUAGGGUCCAAGUUGAUAUCAGACGUCUUUUGAAAAGAAAGAAGUUAAUCGAAUUUCGGGGGAAAAAGUCAUAUGUUCGUUUUAAAUAUGAAAGAUUUGACACUUUUUUGUUUCUUUUGUGGAAAACUGGGUCACAAUGAUUCUUUUUGUGAGGCAAAAAUGUUGAUUGGAAUGGAAAUUAUAGAAAUAUCAAUAAGAGCACAAUCCCGAAGAGCCCUGACUAUGAAUAGCCUGACUACGUGAAGAUGGGGAGGGGGUUAUAGAUGGAAUUCAUGAGGGAAAUAGGGGAUUUGCAAGGGGACCACAGAGAAUGGAGCAUAAGAAGAGUUAUGGGAAAACAGUUGAUGAGACAAGGAAACUUGGUAGAAUGGAGGUGGUUUCGUUUUAAAUACGAAACUUGGUAGAAUUCAAAUGGAAAGAGUUCGAUGGAGAUGUGGUUUUGUGAAUGGCAUAGAGGUGGAUCCAGAGGGAACUAGAGGAGGGCUAUGUUUGGCUUAGAGGAAUGACGUCAAUAUUUCUUUGAAAAGAUUCUCUAAAAGACAUAUUGAUGUGACAGUGCAUGAUAAUGAGGGAGGUUAUGUGGCGACUUACAGGCUUUUAUGGGACUCCGUACGUACGAGACAAGGAAGAUUCAUGGGCUGUCUUGAAAAAUAUCUAUAAUGGAGAGAAUAUCCCAUGGUUUGUUUGUGGAGAUUUUAAUGAAAUCAUGUAUGGCUUUGAGAAAAAAGGAGGUAUGCCCCGUGAUGAGAGAAUGAUGGAAAUGUUUCGAAAAACUUUGGAAUUAUGUCAAUUGAACGAUAUGGGAUUCGCGGAUAGAUGGUUCACAUGAGAGCGAGGCAAUCUCCCAAAAACAAAUAUACAAGAACGUUUGGACAGAGUGGUUGCAAAUAAGGAGUGGAUUUCUUUGUUCGCUGAAGUAAAAGUUCAGCAUUUGGUGCAUUCUUUUUCUGAUUAUUGUCCUCUUCUAAUUGAUACAAAGAAGGAAAUAAGACAGCAGAAUGAAAAUAGUUUCAAAAUUGAAAACUGGUGGUUUUAGGAGGAUUCCUUUGUUGCUGAAGCUGAACACUUAUGGAAGAUGUCAACAGGUAAUUUCCUGCAGAAUAUGGAAUUAUUAAAAAAGGGGCUAGAAAGUUGGGCAGGAAAAAUUCUAAAGAAUAAAAAAGGGAAAAAGAAAUAUUUAACAGCAAAGUUAUCCGAGUUGCUUGAAGCUGAAAGGGAUGAUAGUAACAUGGCGGAUAUGAUAGAUACGAGGAUUCAGCUAAACUUGGAGAUUGAGAAGGAUGAAAGAUAUUGGGAGCAAAGGGCUAGACUGAACUGGCUCAAACUAGGGGAUAAAAAUACAGCUUUUUUCCAUAGUUAAGCAACUCAGAGGCGAAGGAAAAACACGAUCAAGAGUUUACAAAACGGACAAGGUGGGUAUACGAAAAAUCUACAGGAAAUGAAAGAACUAGCAAUGUCCUACUUUCAGAAUUUAUUUGCAUCAGAGAACAAGAAAACUUCGACUACUUGCUCUCGGGUAUUAAUCGAUGCAUUCAUGAAAAGAUGGGGUUUUAAUAGAUUUGAAAGAGUUUUCUAAAAGAAAGAGAUUUGAAAAUGAUAACAGACUGAAGAAAAAUCUUUUUGAUAACUGUUAUCCUCUAAACAGCUGUGACAAUUCAGCAUGAAAAGAUGGGGUUUUAAUUGCGUCUAGCUGUUAGAUUUGACUGGGUAUUAAUUACUGUUCUUGAUUUUUCAUCUUCCGAUUUGCUUUUUAGGGUCAGUUUCCAUGGGGCAAACUUUGUAGCCCAUUUUUUGUUUUGUUUUUGUUUUAUGUUUGUUGACAGUUAGAACUAAGCCCAAACUUCUUAGGCAUUUUAUUGGUUUGACUCUUUAUUUAUAAUAGCCCAGUCAUAUUAUUCAAA
rnacentral:lncRNA from 1 species